UAUAUACAGGGACAAGAUGGGUUCUU
rnacentral:piRNA from 1 species